AAAUUGAAGAGUUUGAUCAUGGCUCAGAUUGAACGCUGGCGGCAGGCCUAACACAUGCAAGUCGAACGGUAACAGGAAACAGCUUGCUGUUUCGCUGACGAGUGGCGGACGGGUGAGUAAUGUCUGGGAAACUGCCUGAUGGAGGGGGAUAACUACUGGAAACGGUAGCUAAUACCGCAUAACGUCGCAAGACCAAAGAGGGGGACCUUCGGGCCUCUUGCCAUCGGAUGUGCCCAGAUGGGAUUAGCUAGUAGGUGGGGUAACGGCUCACCUAGGCGACGAUCCUAGCUGGUCUGAGAGGAUGACCAGCCACACUGGAACUGAGACACGGUCCAGACUCCUACGGGAGGCAGCAGUGGGGAAUAUUGCACAAUGGGCGCAAGCCUGAUGCAGCCAUGCCGCGUGUAUGAAGAAGGCCUUCGGGUUGUAAAGUACUUUCAGCGGGGAGGAAGGGAGUAAAGUUAAUACCUUUGCUCAUUGACGUUACCCGCAGAAGAAGCACCGGCUAACUCCGUGCCAGCAGCCGCGGUAAUACGGAGGGUGCAAGCGUUAAUCGGAAUUACUGGGCGUAAAGCGCACGCAGGCGGUUUGUUAAGUCAGAUGUGAAAUCCCCGGGCUCAACCUGGGAACUGCAUCUGAUACUGGCAAGCUUGAGUCUCGUAGAGGGGGGUAGAAUUCGAGGUGUAGCGGUGAAAUGCGUAGAGAUCUGGAGGAAUACCGGUGGCGAAGGCGGCCCCCCUGGACGAAGACUGACGCUCAGGUGCGAAAGCGUGGGGAGCAAACAGGAUUAGAUACCACGGUAGUCCACGCCGUAAACGAUGUCGACUUGGAGGUUGUGCCCUUGAGGCGUGGCUUCCGGAGCUAACGCGUUAAGUCGACCGCCUGGGGAGUACGGCCGCAAGGUUAAAACUCAAAUGAAUUGACGGGGGCCCGCACAAGCGGUGGAGCAUGUGGUUUAAUUCGAUGCAACGCGAAGAACCUUACCUGGUCUUGACAUCCACGGAAGUUUUCAGAGAUGAGAAUGUGCCUUCGGGAACCGUGAGACAGGUGCUGCAUGGCUGUCGUCAGCUCGUGUUGUGAAAUGUUGGGUUAAGUCCCGCAACGAGCGCAACCCUUAUCCUUUGUUGCCAGCGGUCCGGCCGGGAACUCAAAGGAGACUGCCAGUGAUAAACUGGAGGAAGGUGGGGAUGACGUCAAGUCAUCAUGGCCCUUGACCAGGGGCUACACACGUGCUACAAUGGCGCAUACAAAGAGAAGCGACCUCGCGAGAGCAAGCGGACCUCAUAAAGUGCGUCGUAGUCCGGAUUGGAGUCUGCAACUCGACUCCAUGAAGUCGGAAUCGCUAGUAAUCGUGGAUCAGAAUGCCACGGUGAAUACGUUCCCGGGCCUUGUACACACCGCCCGUCACACCAUGGGAGUGGGUUGCAAAAGAAGUAGGUAGCUUAACCUUCGGGAGGGCGCUUACCACUUUGUGAUUCAUGACUGGGGUGAAGUCGUAACAAGGUAACCGUAGGGGAACCUGCGGUUGGAUCACCUCCUUACCUUAAAGAAGC
rnacentral:rRNA from 1 species